rnacentral:rRNA from 1 species
CAGCAGUCGCCACGGGAAUACGUAGGUGGCAAGCGUUGUCCGGAUUUAUUGGGCGUAAAGCGAGCGCAGGCGGUCAAUUAAGUCUGAUGUGAAAGCCCCCGGCUCAACCGGGGAGGGUCAUUGGAAACUGGUUGACUUGAGUGCAGAAGAGGAGAGUGGAAUUCCAUGUGUAGCGGUGAAAUGCGUAGAGAUGUGGAGGAACACCAGUGGCGAAGGCGACUCUCUGGUCUGUAACUGACGCUGAGGAGCGAAAGCGUGGGGAGCGAACAGGAUUAGAGACCCCGGUAGUCCCUGUCUCUUAUAC